rnacentral:rRNA from 1 species
AGUGAACGCUGGCGGUAGGCCUAACACAUGCAAGUCGAACGGCAGCACAGUAAGAGCUUGCUCUUACGGGUGGCGAGUGGCGGACGGGUGGGGAAUACAUCGGAAUCUACUUUUUCGUGGGGGAUAACGUAGGGAAACUUACGCUAAUACCGCAUACGACCUACGGGUGAAAGCAGGGGAUCUUCAGACCUUGCGCGAUUGAAUGAGCCGAUGUCGGAUUAGCUAGUUGGCGGGGUAAAGGCCCACCAAGGCGACGAUCCGUAGCUGGUCUGAGAGGAUGAUCAGCCACACUGGAACUGAGACACGGUCCAGACUCCUACGGGAGGCAGCAGUGGGGAAUAUUGGACAAUGGGCGCAAGCCUGAUCCAGCCAUACCGCGUGGGUGAAGAAGGCCUUCGGGUUGUAAAGCCCUUUUGUUGGGAAAGAAAAGCAGCAGGUUAAUACCCCGCUGUUCUGACGGUACCCAAAGAAUAAGCACCGGCUAACUUCGUG